rnacentral:misc_RNA from 1 species
AACGCACGAGACCUGCGGACCUGCGGAAGGAUCAUUACCGAGUUCAUGCCCUAAAGGGUAGAUCUCCCACCCUUGUGUAUAUUAUAUCUGUGUUGCUUUGGCAGGCCGCUGGGCUCUCAGAGCCUGGCCAUCGGCUCCCCAGCUGGUGCGCUGCCUGCCAGAGACCCCCAAACUCUUGUUUGUCUAGUGUCGUCUGAGUACCAUUGCAAAUCGUUAAAACUUUUAACAAUGGAUCUCUAG